AUUGAACGCUGGCGGAAUGCUUUACACAUGCAAGUCGAGCGGCAGCACGGGGGCAACCCUGGUGGCGAGCGGCGAACGGGUGAGUAAUACAUCGGAACAUGCCCAGUCGUGGGGGAUAACACUUCGAAAGAAGUGCUAAUACCGCAUACGUCCUGAGGGGGAAAGCGGGGGAUCGCAAGACCUCGCGCGAUUGGAGUGGCCGAUGUCAGAUUAGCUAGUUGGUGGGGUAAAGGCCUACCAAGGCAACGAUCUGUAGCUGGUCUGAGAGGAUGAUCAGCCACGCUGGGACUGAGACACGGCCCAGACUCCUACGGGAGGCAGCAGUGGGGAAUUUUGGACAAUGGGGGCAACCCUGAUCCAGCCAUUCCGCGUGAGUGAAGAAGGCCUUCGGGUUGUAAAGCUCUUUCGGCAGGAACGAAACGGUGAGCCCUAACAUAGCUUGCUAAUGACGGUACCUGAAGAAGAAGCACCGGCUAACUACGUG
rnacentral:rRNA from 1 species